AGAGUUUGAUCAUGGCUCAGAAUGAACGCUGGCGGCGUGGAUUAGGCAUGCAAGUCGAACGUGAAAGUGGAAUUUAUUUCACGAGUAAAGUGGCGAACGGGCGAGUAACGCGUGGGAAACCUGCCCUGGAGUGGGGGAUAACAUUUCUAACGGAAUGCUAAUACCGCAUAAUAUUUUCUGGCGCAUGUCAGAAAAUCAAAGAUGGCCUCUUCUUGAAAGCUAUCUCUCUGGGAUGGUCCCGCGUCCAAUUAGCUUGUUGGUGGGGUAAUGGCCUACCAAGGCGACGAUUGGUAGCCGGCCUGAGAGGGUGACCGGCCACACUGGGACUGAGACACGGCCCAGACUCCUACGGGAGGCAGCAGUCGAGAGGCUUCGGCAAUGGGGGAAACCCUGACCGAGCGACGCCGCGUGGACGAUGAAGUAUUUCGGUACGUAAAGUCCUGUCAUGAGGGAUGAACAAUUGAUUGGGUAAUACCCUUUCGANNAGACAGACCUCAAGAGGA
rnacentral:rRNA from 1 species